CCUACGGGAGGCAGCAGUGGGGAAUAUUGGGCAAUGGGCGCAAGCCUGACCCAGCAACGCCGCGUGAAGGAAGAAGGCUUUCGGGUUGUAAACUUCUUUUCUCAGGGACGAAGCAAGUGACGGUACCUGAGGAAUAAGCCACGGCUAACUACGUGCCAGCAGCCGCGGUAAUAGGGAGGUGGAAAGCGUUAUCCGGAUUUACUGGUUGUAAAGGGUGUGUAGGCGGGAAAGCAAGUCAGAUGUGAAAACCAUGGGCUCAACCUGUGGACUGCAUUUGAAACUGUUUUUCUUGAGUACUGGAGAGGCAGACGGAAUUCCUAGUGUAGCGGUGAAAUGCGUAGAUAUUAGGAGGAACACCAGUGGCGAAGGCGGUCUGCUGGACAGCAACUGACGCUGAGGCGCGAAAGCGUGGGGAGCAAACAGGAUUAGAUACCCGAGUAGUC
rnacentral:rRNA from 1 species